ACCAACAGCAAGCUAGCAUACUCUCAGUCAUACACAUGACUCCAUGAGAGUUCACGAUCUGCACAAUUAAGCUUCAGUGACAACAAGACCACCCAAGCCAUGAGGUCUCUUUUACCUCCGAAAUCCAUGAGACUAUUCUGAUUGUUUCAGAUUCAUAAAUGCACAAGGAGGUCACCAAGCUCGAUCGGAUCUAUGCCAUCAGGCAGGUGUGUCGCCCUUCCAUAGUUCUCUGGCUAUCUUAGGUUGUACUCAGGUCGAGCUUCUUCAUUUGUACGGCUUCAAGGUCUGGUGAGCUGGCAGUGUUCAGGUUUUAGCUGCUAUUCAUUGUUUCCAGUGGUGGAGCCAGCUCACUGACCGAGCAUGGGCAGGGUCACCGCUGGCCGGUGUUUGCCCAGCAAAACAUCAUUGCUAACCCAUAUAUUGAUGCUAAUGCUUAACGGACUCUCCGGUAGAGCCCAGGCAGCUGCCUGGGGUCCCCGUGAGCUGCUCCAUCCCCGAUUGUUUCCCUUGGAUUAACAAAAUGUCUUGAAUCGAUCUGCAGUGCAGUUGUUGAUAAUGCUUUGUACUGGUGAUAUACCUAGCACACGAUGAGCAUAUGCUCUUGAAUUCUAGAUACAGUGCACAUGACAGCUCCUUUUAAUUGAAGUCGUUUUAGUUCAGUAAUAUUAUAGUGAUUUCCCCUAAUGAGUAAUUACUCCUCUAGUCCUCUUUGCUUCCUGAUUUAUUUCUUGACUGUGAUACAUUUUCUUGUGGCUUAUUCAACAACUCUAGCUAUUUGUUUCUCCAUACAUCUGGAGAUACUAUAAGAUAUAUGUUGAGAAAAAUAUGGAACUAAGUUACUCGGAGCUGUCUGCUAUGUCAGAUAGGCUCCCUUUUCGUCUCACUUGUUUAAAUCUUUAAUGUUUGGGGCAUUUUAACCUGAGAUGUCCCCUACACGGAAGCAGAGCAUACAUGGUCACUUAGUUGGUUGAGUGUCACUUACUCUUGUUAGUUAAUAACAUCUAGUUUGCCAUUGACGAUAGCACAGUCUUAAGUGUUUUGAAAUUCCCACGGACCUGCCUGUUGUCAGUUAUGUUUUUUGAUUGAUUAUGUGGGUUAGCGUUAGAUAGGUUAACUGUAUGAAAUAAGAGUUUAGGAGGAUUAUACUUUGAAAGGCUGUGCUUAUUUCACUUGUCCAUUGUGGUUGGAGAGUUUUGAAGUGUUUCAGCAAGUGCGUGCUACUAAUUAAUGCAUCACUUACUUCAUUUUGCAGUGGUCAUUCUAAUAACACUGAGGCAAAUAUACAACUAGCCUCCCACCCAACAGUGAGACAUUAAGAAUUCUCAGAAAGU
rnacentral:lncRNA from 1 species